rnacentral:rRNA from 1 species
AACGAACGCUGGCGGCAGGCCUAACACAUGCAAGUCGAACGCUCUCUUCGGAGGGAGUGGCAGACGGGUGAGUAACACGUGGGAACCUACCCCUUGGUACGGACUAACUGAUGGAAACGUUAGCCAAUACCGUAUGAGCGCUGAGGCGGAAAGAUUUAUCGCCAAGGGAUGGGCCCGCGUAGGAUUAGCUAGUUGGUGGGUAAAGGCCUACCAAGGCGACGAUCCUUAGCUGGUCUGAGAGGAUGAUCAGCCACACUGGGACUGAGACACGGCCCAGACUCCUACGGGAGGCAGCAGUGGGGAAUAUUGGACAAUGGGCGGAAGCCUGAUCCAGCCAUGGCGCGUGAGUGAUGAAGGCCUUAGGGUUGUAAAGCUCUUUCACCUGGGAAGAUAAUGACGGUACCAGGAGAAGAAGCCCCGGCUAACUUCGUGCCAGCCGCCGCAGUAAGAC